UACAGAGGUCUCAAGCGUUGUUCGGAUUCAUUGGGCGUAAAGGGUGUGUAGGUGGCGCCGUAAGUCGGGUGUGAAAUUUCGGAGCUUAACUCCGAAACUGCAUUCGAUACUGCGGUGCUUGAGGACUGGAGAGGAGACUGGAAUUCAUGGUGUAACAGUGAAAUGCGUAGAGAUCAUGAGGAAGACCAGUGGCGAAGGCGGGUCUCUGGACAGUUCCUGACACUGAGGCACGAAGGCCAGGGGAGCAAACGGG
rnacentral:rRNA from 1 species